AUGCCGCGCCGGGCCACGCCGGCCGCCCGGCACUUCCCACCUCCCGCCGGCGGCGGAGCUGCGGCCGCCGCGCUGCCUGCCUGCCUUCCUCCCCUUCCUCCUCAUCCUCCUCCUCCUUCCCCCAACCCCGACAACACCGGGCCGGGGGCCCGCUUACCCGCGGGGCGAGGCGGCGGCGGCCGAAGGGGAGCUACCCCUCCUGCUGCUGCUGCUCCCACUGCUAGUACUAGCGCUGGUAGCGCUGCUGGCAGCGCUGCUGCUGCAACAAAGGACUUCCGCCCCGCCGCGCCUGCUGCUGCCGCAGCGCCGGCUCCGCCGCGACCGCACGGGGCCGGACCCCUCCCUCCCUCCCCUCGGCCCCGCCGCCGCCAGCGCUGCUGCGCCGCCGCCGACAGCGCCGGGGCCCGGCGGGCGGCUCCCGGCGGGCGGCUCCCUGCCGCGCUGCCCUCUCCUCCCAUGCCGCCGGGGAUGCUGCGGCCGGGGGCGCCCCCUCCCCAUGUGCCGCAAGCCUCGCCCCCUCCUCCCCCCUCCUCCUCCUCCUCCUCCUCCUCCCCUCGCAUGAGGCGUCCUCCCGCCCCGCAGCCCCCCCUCCCGGCCCCAAGGGCAGAGCUGGGGGAUGUCUCCACGCCGUGUCCCCAUCCCACGUCGUCCCGUCCCUCACCCCGCAGGAUGCCCAAGCUUCGCCCCCGCUUCCCCCUCCCAGGACGAGCCGCGAGGUCCCCGGGGGAUGGCCCAUGUGGGCGGCCGGAGAUGGGGUCGGGCAGCCGCGGCCUCCUCCUGCGUGGGGCAGCUUCGUUACGAGGUGGGAGGAGGGGAAAAAAAAAAAAGAAAAAAAAACAAAGAAAAAAAGCACCAAGAAAAAAAGCAACUCCAAGUUGCACGAGGAAGUAUUUGCUCUCUGCUGAAAUUUCACACGUCCAUAUCCCUGCCGCCCCACUUUAUGCAUUGAUGCAGAGAGCGCAGGAGCUGGCAGCCGCUACCACGUUUAAUCACAGAUCCCGAGCAGACCACUUUUUUUUUCUUCUUCUCUCUCUCUCCCUCUGA
rnacentral:lncRNA from 1 species